AUCUUAAUGCAUACCUUACCCAUGCACGUCGAGCGUAACAUUUCCAGCUUGCUGGAUAUGACGAGCGGUUUACAAGUAGGUAAUACUUGGGAACUUGCCUCUAGGCGGGGGACAACCACAAAACGGUGGCUAAUACCGCAUAAUGUCUACGGACCAAAGUGGGGGACCUUCGGGCCUCACACCUACAGAUGGGCCCAAGUGGGAUUAGCUAGUUGGUGAGGUAAUGUCUCACCAAGGCGACCAUCCCUAGCUGUUCUGAGAGGAUGAUCAGCCACACUGGGACUGACACACGGCCCACACUCCUACGGGAGGCACCAGUGGG
rnacentral:rRNA from 1 species